rnacentral:rRNA from 1 species
GCUUAUAGCAUUUCAUCGUGCAUGCACCGGAUCCCAUCAGAACUCCGCAGUUAAACGUGCUUGGGCGAGAGUAGUACUAGGAUGGGUGACCUCCUGGAAGUCCUCGUGUUGCACCCU